CAUCACUACGCUAGAUGCAUAUCAAUAAGCGGAGGAAAAGAAACUAACAAGGAUUCCCCUAGUAACGGCGAGUGAAGCGGGAAGAGCUCAAAUUUGAAAUCUUAAAGGGUUUCCCUUUACGAAUUGUAGUUUAAAGAAGUGUUUUCUGUUGGAGUUUCGGUAAAAGUUCUUUGGAAUAGGACAUCAUAGAGGGUGAGAAUCCCGUAUUUGACCGUUACUUUCCAGCUGUGUGAUACACUUUCAAAGAGUCGGAUUGUUUGGGAAUGCAGUCCAAAAUGGGUGGUAAAUUUCAUCUAAAGCUAAAUAUUGGCGAGAGACCGAUAGCGAACAAGUACCGUGAGGGAAAGAUGAAAAGAACUUUGAAAAGAGAGUUAAACAGUACGUGAAAUUGUCAAAAGGGAAGCGUUUGACACCAGUGUUGUUUUUCCGAAAAUCAAUUAUGAAUGGCUUGAUUUUAAGUUUCAUGACCUUAAAAGCUUGUUUCUUAUUUUUCAUGUCUUUCGUAAUGCACUUUUCGGUUAACAAGUCAACAUCAAUUUCUUUUGUUGUAAAAGAGUCAUUGGAAGGUGGCUUUCUUUUCGGAGAAAGUGUUUAUAGCCUUUGGCUUCUGCAAUCGGAGAGAUUGAGGUCUGCAGCGUAGAUCCCUCGGGGUUAGAUACAUUUGUGCUAAGUUAUAGCCUUUCAUAGACAACUUGUUGACUAUGCUCAGUCAUGUAGCUUACUCGCUUGUGCUAUUUUACCUACGCUUAGGAUGUUGACGAGACUGUCGAUCUC
rnacentral:rRNA from 1 species